UGGUGUAUUGCAUUGUUUUUGACAUUGGAAUUCACUCAAAAAUCCCAAAAUGACUCCUCCCACAACAUUAUGAUGUUCCCAAAGUUUUGGACUCAAUCCGAUAUCGAUUGGUCAAUGAAAUUGCACAACUCAGGAUCGUACGAAGUUCGUUCUGAAAUGGAGUGGUUGGUGUAUUCUACAGUUAUAGAGAUUGGAUUUCACUCAAACACUCACCAAAAGACUC
rnacentral:lncRNA from 1 species